rnacentral:rRNA from 1 species
UACGUAGGACCCAAGCGUUAUCCGGAGUGACUGGGCGUAAAGAGUUGCGUAGGCGGCUUAAUAAGUGGAUAGUGAAACCUGGUGGCUCAACCAUACAGACUAUUAUCCAAACUGUUAAGCUCGAGAAUGGUAGAGGUGGCUGGAAUUUCUAGUGUAGGAGUGAAAUCCGUAGAUAUUAGAAGGAACACCAAUGGCGUAGGCAGGCCACUGGACCAUUUCUGACGCUAAGGCACGAAAGCGUGGGGAGCGAACCGG